rnacentral:rRNA from 1 species
UACGUAGGGUGCAAGCGUUGUCCGGAAUCAUUGGGCGUAAAGAGCGUGUAGGCGGUUUGUCGCGUCUGCUGUGAAAUCUCAAGGCUCAACCUUGAGCUUGCAGUGGGUACGGGCAGACUAGAGUGUGGUAGGGGAGACUGGAAUUCCUGGUGUAGCGGUGAAAUGCGCAGAUAUCAGGAGGAACACCGAUGGCGAAGGCAGGUCUCUGGGCCACUACUGACGCUGAGAAGCGAAAGCAUGGGGAGCGAACAGG